UGAGUUGGGCAAUUAUUGUCUCUUCAUCACAUUUUAAACUUGUGAAAUUGACGUGAGUUAGACAUUUUACAAAAACCGAAGCAUGUCAGGUCUGAUUUUCCAAAAAACCAAGCAUGUCGGCUUUGACUUUUUGGACUUUGGCUUGGGUGGGUACUUUUAUAAGACAAGUUAUAAAAGUGGGUACUUUCGCCUAUUCACAGU
rnacentral:lncRNA from 1 species